GUUGCCCUCAUCAGCAAUGUCUGCGCUUUCCUUAGGCUGGGUUCGGAAGGAGCCUUGCCCUUCGUUGAAAUGGCUGCCCCGCCUCAUUGAUGUUGCAUGACUGAAGCUAAAUCGGUACCCUUUGUAAAGAUGGCAUGUGCCCAUUGGCACGACUUGCAGGGGAGAUUAUUAUAUCAGGUGCAGAAGAACUGAAACAACUUGUGUUCCUGAAAGUGAACCAAUAGUACUUGAGUCAAGCAGAUGAUCCUCUUCAGCUGGCAACGGCCAGACAAUGAGUCCCGCUGCUGGAGCAAAGGACAUUGAAUUCAGUGGCAGUUUCCAAAGUAAACGUGUCUAGGAUUGAAUCCUUGCAUCUCUGCUACUCA